rfam:Dipodomys ordii contig_61292, whole genome shotgun sequence.
GGGAAUGUGGCUUAGUGGUAGAGUGUUUGCCUAACAUGCAUGAAGCCCAGGAUUCAAUUCCUCAGUACCA